rnacentral:rRNA from 1 species
AGUGAACGCUGGCGGUAGGCCUAACACAUGCAAGUCGAACGGCAGCACAGUAAGAGCUUGCUCUUACGGGUGGCGAGUGGCGGACGGGUGAGGAAUACAUCGGAAUCUACUUUUUCGUGGGGGAUAACGUAGGGAAACUUACGCUAAUACCGCAUACGACCUACGGGUGAAAGCAGGGGAUCUUCGGACCUUGCGCGAUUGAAUGAGCCGAUGUCGGAUUAGCUAGUUGGCGGGGUAAAGGCCCACCAAGGCGACGAUCCGUAGCUGGUCUGAGAGGAUGAUCAGCCACACUGGAACUGAGACACGGUCCAGACUCCUACGGGAGGCAGCAGUGGGGAAUAUUGGACAAUGGGCGCAAGCCUGAUCAAGCCAUACCGCGUGGGUGAAGAAGGCCUUCGGGUUGUAAAGCCCUUUUGUUGGGAAAGAAAAGCGGCAGGUUAAUACCCCGCUGUUCUGACGGUACCCAAAGAAUAAGCACCGGCUAACUUCGU